ACGGCCAUACCAUGCUGAAUAUACCCGGAUCUCGUUAGAUCACCGAAGUCAAGCAUCAUUGGGCGAGGAUGGGUGACCACUUGGGAACACCGCGUGCCGUUG